UACGGAGGGAGCUAGCGUUGUUCGGAAUUACUGGGCGUAAAGCGCACGUAGGCGGCUUUGUAAGUUAGAGGUGAAAGCCCGGGGCUCAACCCCGGAAUUGCCUUUAAGACUGCAUCGCUUGAAUCCGGGAGAGGUGAGUGGAAUUCCGAGUGUAGAGGUGAAAUUCGUAGAUAUUCGCAAGAACACCAGUGGCGAAGGCGGCUCACUGGCCCGGUACUGACGCUGAGGUGCGAAAGCGUGGGGAGCAAACAGG
rnacentral:rRNA from 1 species